rnacentral:rRNA from 1 species
UACGUAGGCAGCGAGCGUUGUUCGGAGUUACUGGGCGUAAAGGGUGUGUAGGCGGUUGUUUAAGUUUGGUGUGAAAUCUCCCGGCUCAACUGGGAGGGUGCGCCGGAUACUGAGGGGCUAGAGUGUGGGAGAGGAAAGUGGAAUUCCUGGUGUAGCGGUGAAAUGCGUAGAUAUCAGGAGGAACACCGGUGGUGUAAACGGCUUCUGGACCAUAACUGACGCUGAGGCACGAAAGCGUGGGUAGCAAACAGG